UUUGAGUUCUUCUAUAUGCAGGAUAGCAUCAAGUAAUUUCAGGUGCAUUAUUUUGCAAAAGAAAAAGAUUUCUACUUGAAUUUACACCGAUGUGGGAAGAGAAUUUACGUGCUCAAUUGAGAUCCCGAUAUGCCCCACGGCGUCGCCGCCGCCAAGUAAGUAUUUGUUGCUCUUCCAUUUGACCGGCCUCUGUUUUCAAACUGCAACUAUGUUAUAAAUAAUUUUUUCCAUUAUUUAUUUAUUUAUUUUUAUUUUUUAUAACGUAAAGCCAUGUUUAUUGUAGGAUUCAGGAUCGUCCAAAGCAUCCAAAAGGGCUCGCAAAACCCCUAUCCCUGCU
rnacentral:lncRNA from 1 species